rnacentral:rRNA from 1 species
GAUCAUGGCUCAGGAUGAACGCUAGCUACAGGCUUAACACAUGCAAGUCGAGGGGCAGCAUGGCGAUGGCUUGCUAUUGUUGAUGGCGACCGGCGCACGGGUGAGUAACGCGUAUCCAACCUGCCCUUGUCCAUCGGAUAACCCGUCGAAAGGCGGCCUAACACGAUAUGCAGUUCUCAGCAGGCAUCUAACGAGAACGAAAUGUAAAGGAGAAGGAUGGGGAUGCG